GACGAACGCUGGCGGCGUGCUUAACACAUGCAAGUCGAACGGAAAGGCCCUGCUUUUGUGGGGUGCUCGAGUGGCGAACGGGUGAGUAACACGUGAGUAACCUGCCCUUGACCUUGGGAUAACUUCAGGAAACUGGGGCUAAUACCGGAUAGGAGCUCCUGCUGCAUGGUGGGGGUUGGAAAGUUUCGGCGGUUGGGGAUGGACUCGCGGCUUAUCAGCUAGUUGGUGGGGUAGUGGCUUACCAAGGCUUUGACGGGUAGCCGGCCUGAGAGGGUGACCGGCCACAUUGGGACUGAGAUACGGCCCAGACUCCUACGGGAGGCAGCAGUGGGGAAUAUUGCACAAUGGGCGGAAGCCUGAUGCAGCAACGCCGCGUGCGGGAUGACGGCCUUCGGGUUGUAAACCGCUUUCGCCUGUGACGAAGCGUGAGUGACGGUAAUGGGUAAAGAAGCACCGGCUAACUACGUG
rnacentral:rRNA from 1 species